AGAGCGCAUGACCGGUUACCGUAGCCGUGACUUUUUUCCAUCGUCCUCCAACAUCGGUGCUCCAGUUAGACACCCGUUCUUCGUUCUCUGCAAGAAACAAUGUUUCACGCGCUCGUUCUUUGACCCGUUUUAAAAUAUCGAAAACGUUGAAACGAAUGAAACGGCGAUCAUACAAAAAUCACAAUUAAGAUUUGUUUAAAUCUCGUUUUGCAUUUUGAAUCGACUCAACUCAAUAAUUGUGUUCUCAUAAUGUGUAUUUUUUGUUUGUUAUUUUGAAAAAAAUAAGCAAGAGAUUAAUAAAGUUCGAUUGUGUACGAUAGAACGAUGAUAGUUUUGUAUUAAACUUUGAUAAAAUUCAUUCGUUUAAUUUGGAAUAAAAAUUGCAAUUAGGACGUUAUAUACUAAUUUUUUAGGAAGCAAAUCCGUUCGCAACAACAAGUGUAUUUUCUGUUUGUUAUUUUGAAAAAAAUAAGCAAGAGAUUAAUAAAGUUCGAUUGUACGAUAGAACGAUGAUAGUUUUGUAUUAAACUUUGAUAAAAUUCAUUCGUUUAAUUUGGAAUAAAAAUUGCAACUAGGACGUUAUAUACUAAUUUUUUAUGAAGCAAAUCCGUUCGCAACAACAAGUGUAUUUUCUGUUUGUUUGUAUAAAACUUUGAUAAAAUUCAUUCGUUUAAUUUGGAAUAAAAAUUGCAAUUAGAACGUUAUAUAUUUGAUAGGUAUAUACUAAUUGUAUGUAUAAAAAUUAGAUGCAAUUAACGUGCAAUUUAGAUCUUAGAACUAUGUCACGUUUUUACAGAUACUUUUUUUGUAAAUUUUAGGAAACAAAUCCGUUCGCAACAACAACUCAGCUAUUAACUAUACUAGGUAUAGUUAAUAUACAUACUUAUAUUAUACGUAUACAUAAGGUGUUGAGUUAACGCACGAUCUGUAGAAAGAUACAAGCGCGAGGAAAAUGCGAAUGUAGCUUCGAUAAAUUCCGAAGCCGCGAUUCUCGUCCUCCCCUAUGUCUUGUUGUACAGCAGACAGAUAAAUUUAUACGUUUGCCAA
rnacentral:lncRNA from 1 species